rnacentral:rRNA from 1 species
ACUAACCCUAGCCCGAACAACCUCAGACUUUACUAUCUCAACCAAUCAACCAAAACAUUUAUAGACUGAAGUAUUGGUGAAAGAAAUUUUGCAAUGGAGCUAUAGAGACAGUACCGUAAGGGAAAGAUGAAAGAUGUAUUUAAGUACGAAAAAGCAAAGAUUAAACCUUCUACCUUUUGCAUAAUGGACUAACUAGAAAACCUCUAACUAAGAGAACUACAGCUAGAAACCCCGAAACCAAACGAGCUACCUAAGAGCAAUUUUAUGAAUGCACCCGUCUAUGUGACAAAAUAGUGGGAAGACUUUUAGGUAGAGGUGAAAAGCCUAACGAGCUUGGUGAUAGCUGGUUGCCCAAUAAAGAAUUUUAGUUCUACCUUAAGCUUACCAUAAGAAAAUGCAAUCCAAAUGUAAACUUAAGAUAUAGCCUAAAGGGGGUCAGCCCUUUAGGAACGGGAACAACCUUUAAUAGUGAGUAAGAUAUUUUUGCCUAACCAUAGUUGGCUUAAAAGCAGCCACCAAUAAAGAAAGCGUUCAAGCUCAACACUUACAUCACCACAAUACCCAACAUCUUACCUAUCUCCUAUUAUCAUAAUUGGGCUAAUCUAUUUGUAAAUAGAUGAGACACUGUUAGUAUGAGUAACAAGAAUUUAUUCUCCUCGCACAAGCCUAUAACAACCCGGAUGCCCAUUGUUAGUUAAACCAAUGUAAGCUUAUCAACCCCCUAUUAAAACCUCUUACCUCAUAAUGUUAAUCCAACACAGGUGUGCCCCAAGGAAAGAUUUAAAGAAAUAAAAGGAACUCGGCAAACACGAAUCCCGCCUGUUUACCAAAAACAUAACCUCUAGCAUCACAAGUAUUAGAGGCAAUGCCUGCCCAGUGACUGAGUUCAACGGCCGCGGUAUCCUGACCGUGCAAAGGUAGCAUAAUCACUUGUUCCUUAAUUAGGGACUAGAAUGAACGGCUAAACGAGGAUUCAACUGUCUCUUAUUUCUAAUCAGUGAAAUUGACCUUCCCGUGAAGAGGCGGGAAUGAAAUAAUAAGACGAGAAGACCCUAUGGAGCUUUAAUCCCAUAUCUUAGCCUCUACAACUAGCAAUCUACUGGCCCAACAACACGAGGCAUGAGCUGUGGAUUUUGGUUGGGGUGACCUCGGAGUACAAAAGACCCUCCGAAUGAUUUUAGCCCAGGCCAACAAGCCGAAGCACAACCUAUCUUAUUGACCCAAACCUAUUUGAUCAACGGACCAAGUUACCCUAGGGAUAACAGCGCAAUCCUAUUCGAGAGUUCUUAUCGACAAUUAGGGUUUACGACCUCGAUGUUGGAUCAGGACAUCCCAAUGGUGUAGCAGCUAUUAAAGGUUCGUUUGUUCAACGAUUAAAGUCCUACGUGAUCUGAGUUCAGACCGGAGUAAUCCAGGUCGGUUUCUAUCUAUUUACGAUUUCUCCCAGUACGAAAGGACAAGAGAAAUGGGGCCUCCUUGCCACAAGCGCCCCCAAACAAUUAAUGAAUGCAUCUUAACAUAGUAGAUUCGUUAUACCCCAACCCGAGAUAAGGGUUA